GACGAACGCUGGCGGCGUGCUUAACACAUGCAAGUCGAACGAUGAACCGGUUUCGGCCGGGGUUUAGUGGCGAACGGGUGAGUAACACGUGGGCAAUCUGCCCUGCACUCUGGGAUAAGCCCGGGAAACUGGGUCUAAUACCGGAUACGACACUCCGAGGCAUCUUGGGGUGUGGAAAGUUCCGGCGGUGCAGGAUGAGCCCGCGGCCUAUCAGCUUGUUGGUGGGGUAAUGGCCUACCAAGGCGACGACGGGUAGCCGGCCUGAGAGGGUGACCGGCCACACUGGGACUGAGACACGCCCCAGACUCCUACGGGAGGAAGCAGUGGGGAAUACUGCACAAUGGGAGAAAGCCUGAUGCAGCAACGCCGCGUGAGGGAUGACGGCCUUCGGGUUGUAAACCUCGUUCAGCAGGGAAGAAGCGACAGUGACGGUACCUGCAGAAGAAGCACCGGCUAACUACGUG
rnacentral:rRNA from 1 species